UAAGACAGGGCUAUGAAUCAAUCAAAUUAAGGUCAUCACUAAAGAAAUUUUACGGUCGCCAUCAUGAGCUGAUUGGCCAUUAUGACAAAGUGUGUCAGAAAUCAUAUCUGAUAUUCUUCCUCAGUCAUAAUAACCUUCCAUCAUUACCGAACUGAACAAAGAAAUAACACAACAGGUGCCGUAUACGGUGCAGAAAAUGCUUACCCUUCCGGAGCACAUGAUUUCA
rnacentral:lncRNA from 1 species